UACGUAGGGGGCAAGCGUUGUCCGGAUUUAUUGGGCGUAAAGAGCGUGUAGGCGGCCAAGUAGGUCUGCUGUGAAAACUCGAGGCUCAACCUCGAGCUGUCGGCGGAAACCACUUGGCUAGAGUCCGGAAGAGGAGAGUGGAAUUCCUGGUGUAGCGGUGAAAUGCGCAGAUAUCAGGAAGAACACCCGUGGCGAAGGCGGCUCUCUGGGACGGUACUGACGCUGAGACGCGAAAGCGUGGGGAGCGAACAGG
rnacentral:rRNA from 1 species